AGAUAUAUACACAGUACCUUUCUCAGCCAGAGAGACUCUGUAGUACUCCAGGUAGAGACAGUACCUUUCUCAGCCAGAGAGACUCUGUAGUUCUCCAGGUAGAGACAGUACCUUUCUCAGCCAGAGAGACUCUGUAGUUCUCCAGGUAGAGACAGUACCUUUCUCAGCCAGAGAGACUCUGUAGUACUCCAGGUAGAGACAGUACCUUUCUCAGCCAGAGAGACUCUGUAGUUCUCCAGGUAGAGACAGUACCUUUCUCAGCCAGAGAGACUCUGUAGUACUCCAGGUAGAGACAGUACCUUUCUCAGCCAGAGAGACUCUGUAGUUCUCCAGGUAGA